AGAGUUUGAUCAUGGCUCAGAUUGAACGCUGGCGGAAUGCUUUACACAUGCAAGUCGAACGGUAGAGGGGGCAACCCCUCGAGAGUGGCGAACGGGUGAGUAAUAUAUCGGAACGUGCCCAGUCGUGGGGGAUAACGUAGCGAAAGUUACGCUAAUACCGCAUACGAUCUAUGGAUGAAAGCGGGGGAUCGCAAGACCUCGCGCGAUUGGAGCGGCCGAUAUCAGAUUAGGUAGUUGGUGGGGUAAAGGCUCACCAAGCCAACGAUCUGUAGCCGGUCUGAGAGGACGACCAGCCACACUGGAACUGAGACACGGUCCAGACUCCUACGGGAGGCAGCAGUGGGGAAUUUUGGACAAUGGACGCAUGUCUGAUCCAGCCAUUCCGCGUGCGUGAUGAAGGGCCUCGGUUUGUAAACUCGCUUUUGUACUUAAACGAAAAAGUUUCUAUUAAUACUAA
rnacentral:rRNA from 1 species